GAAGGCGGGCUGAGCCCGGCGCCGGGAGGAGUGGUCUAAACUCCACCGCGGCUUUCGCAUCGGAGACGUGUCUUUAGGAAGCAGAGAGGGUUCGAUUCUGGACUCCGCCCAUGACUCACUUCUCUUGUAAAGAAAGAGUUGUCCUUCCUGGUACUCCAGGUUUAUGGGAUGCAGGAUAAUGGAGCAUGCUCUAUCUGGGACAUUGCUAGUCUUAUGACAGAGGGAGAAGACAGCGAUGAGUUUUCGAAGAACUCCAGGAAGUGGCUGCAGAGCAAAGUAGGAUCCUGAUACUGGUUUUCUUCAGUGUCGAAAUUGGUAUGGAGACGUGGAUGGAGAUUUGAGUCUUAGGAAUUUGGGAAGAGCUCAAGUGAUUCAGAAUGAAAAGACCUUGGCACAGACCUGUUAAGGAAGCUCCAUAUAAGGUGAAGAAAACAACAUGCUCAGCCAUGUCCUUGCCUUCUGCACACGGUAGUGCAUUCACUGCCUGAGAAUUCAAGGCUAAAACAAAAAGAGGAGCUUUUGUUCCAACAGAUAAGUACUUACCUUUUUCAAAAAAUGCAUAAGCUGUCCUGGGUGUUUAGCAGUUAUUCGCACAGCUUUCCAAAGACUCACAGCAUUUAAAAGCUAACUCUACAGAGAUUCAACAGCUUCUUCCAGAUCCCACCACAGUGGAAAAGAACUCCGGUGUCCUGGCUCCCUGUCCAGCUCUUCUCUCUCCCCUUCCAGCUGCCAGUUCAGCUUUAAGAAGUUCAUUCUCCACAUUCAGAUGCAGGCAAAUGCGUUUGACUUGAGCAUAUUGAUUUCAGGUGCCUACCUUUCCUCCCUGCAAACUGCCUUGAGUUGCCUCCCCUUCUCCCUUCCUUCCUGGUCUGUCAGAGACAUCUUGUCUGGGUGCAUAUUUGAACCCCAUCAGUAGACAGAAAACAUGUAUUUCCUUGAAGGCCCCUCAGACCCCAGGUACAAACAUUGAAGUAAAUAACAGCAGGGAUGGGGGUUCUGCCUCGCUUCACCUGCCAGCCACGUGCAGACCUUGUUUCAGUCCAACUGAGACUUUAGCAAGUGCUUCAUUCUGGUUUGUGAAUGGCUUCCCAGUGUCUGUCACUGUGUUCACAGGGCCACCGGGGUUGGCUGAGUCAGAAUACCAGCCAUGUGGCAUGUCGCAUGGGGCAAGAGCUGUGCUGCCCAUGGGAGUCCAGAGAAGGAGCACACUAAGGACCAACACCAGCUCUGCAGAUGAGCAAUAUCAUCACAACUAACCAAUUGAUCAAUUAUUCAUUCAGUCAUUUAAUGAGAAGCUACUGUGUACCCAUCCUUUCCUUGGCCUUCUGGACAGUUAGACAUGGUGCCUGUCUUCAGAUUGCUCACACACCAGUUGGAGACACAAAAGUUACAUGCAGAUACAGAGAGAAGACAGCUGUCUGCAAACCAGAAAGAGAGUCCUCACUGCACUUCAUAUCUGCCAAUGGAUCCUUGCUCUUGAACCUCCCAACCUGCAGAAUCAUGAGAAACAAACAUUGUGUAAGCCACCCACUCUACAGUAAUUUGUUCUAGCAGACCGAGCUGACUGAGCAUUUGCUCUAGGGGAAGCCUGCAGCUAUGUCAUGAGGACCCUCAACAGCCCUGUGCAGAGGACUAUGUGGCAUGAAAGAUACCUUCUGCCAACAACCAGCCCCAACUUGCCAAGCAUGUGAACAAGCUAAACUGAAAGCAGAUCUUCAGCCCCAAUCAAGCCUUCAGAUGACAGUAACCUCAGCCAAUAUACUGACUAUAACCUCAUAAAAGACCCUGAACCAGAACCCUCUAAGCCACUCUCAAACUCUACCCCACAUAAACUGUGAAAUAAUAUAUGUUUAUUGUUAUUUUGGGCCACUAAGUUUAGGGGUAAUUUGUUAUGCAGCAAUUAUAUAACCAAUAUUCCAACUAAAGCUGAAAUGCCUCCUGCAUUUCCUCCCUCAGUGGCCUACACUACAAUCCAAGUUCAGGAAAAAACGAGAACCUUAUUUAAGGUAGUGGCAAGAAAUGAAUGGAUUAACUGGACAUUUAAAAAGUAUUUGAUAGAACUUGGUGAUAGGAGGUGGGGCAGUUAGGGACUAGCAGGAAUUUAGGAUGAGAGGCUCAUUCAGUUGGGCUUAUGUUUUACUGAGGUCAAUUCCAAAAGGAAGGAAAGAAAAAUCCAGCCAAAUAACCUUUAAUGGACUAAGUCUUCUUUCAUAAGUCAGUUUGCACAACUUCUUCACAGGAAUCAGAUUUUAAAUAUCAUAACUGAAGAGAAAAAAAACAGCAAGAGGAGUUUACCUUUAUGGUGGAAUGACACUAAUCUUUCAUGCUUUCAAAUUUCUUGAAAUUUCCUUCGUAUGCAUUAUCUUAUUUGCUGUUCACAGUAAAACUGUGUAUUGGCUAAGCCAGUUUUUAUGAAAAUAUAAGCAGUGAGAAAAAGUAAGAUAGUAUGUCAGUUAGUAGAUUUUUUUAUGGACAUUGUGACAGAGGACACAACUUAAACUGGCUUUUUUUUUUUUUUUUUUUUUUUUGAGACAGAGUUUUGCUCUUGUUGCCCAGGCUGGAGUGCAAUGGCACGAUCUCGGCUCACUGCAACCUCCGCCCCCUGGGUUCAAGUGAUUCUCCUGCCUCAGCCUCCCGAGUAGCUGGAAACACAGGUGCCUGCCACCGCGUCCGGCUAAUUUUUUGUAUUUUUAGUAGAGAUGGAGUUUCACCAUGUUGGCCAGGCUAGUCUCAAACUCCUGACCUCAGGUGAUCCACCUGCCUCAGCCUCCCAAACUGCUGGGAUUACAGGUGUGAGCCACCGCACCUGGCAAAAGGGUUUUGUUUCUAAAGGUACAAGAACAGGUACAGCUUCGGGUCAGUGUGAUUCAGCCCUCAACAAAGCCACCAGGAUCCAUUUCUUGGCUCUGCUUCAUUGCUUCUCAUAGGCUGGCUCAUUCUCAGACUGUACGUGAUAUGGUUCAGUGGCUUUAGGCUCCAAGCAUGACAACACCCAACACUCAGAUUGAUGGAGCUAGAGCAAGUCUCUUCAGGCAGCGUCUAGGAAAGUUCUGAAAUUCACUCUGAUUGGCUGCCCAUCUCUGAAUCAACCACGUAACCCAAGGAAAUAGGAACUGCUGAUGGGUCAGGGUCGGUUCACAUGCUUCAUACCUGGAGCUGAGAAGACAUCAACUCCAUCCUGGAGCUCAUGGGCUGUGACUAGAGCAGACGGAGUUCUCAGAGGAAAGUCAGAGUACAGUUAUCAAAGCAAGCAGUUACAGAUGCUAGAUGACCAAAAUCCAAUAACUGCCCAGUAAAAAUAUUAUACUAAAAUCUAGGAACAUGUGGCUGAUGGACAGUCAUUACCAGGAAAAAAAAGUUGUUAGGUCUAAAUGUAAAAAUUGAGGCAAAGAAAGUGCCCGAGCUAGAAUUAGAACCCUGACUACCUGAAUAUUAGAUCGGUUAGUGCCACUUCUACCCUACCGCUGCUGAGGGGGGAGGUGAACAGUCUCUCAGGUUGCAGACAGUGGAUGGUUUCCCUCCCUCUAUCUUCUCAUUUCAUGGUGGAGCUGAAUCAUCCUAUGUUCUACAUGCUGACAGUGGAAGGUUAUGACCAUACCCAUAUCCUGUUGUCUCUGAGUCUCCUGUGGUGCAGAGAUCCCUGAGACUUGUAGAACAGAACCUGAGUGGAAAGUGGGAGGGGGAUUGGGGGUGGUUCCCACGAAUCAAGCAGCAACCUGGAGACAAGGAACACCUGCAACCUCAGCAGUGGAUCAGAACGGCUGACUGAGCAAUGGACAUACUGUGCAUCUUUCAUUAGUGCUGAGACCAACUUCUAGCUUGGAGUCCCAUGAAAGGGAAACUUAGCCCUAACACCACAACAAGGAGCACAGUGUCAAGUGGGGACAUUGCAGCAGAGUUGCCGCAAAGACUCUGAAGUGCUAUGGGAAGGGAUAUUUCCUAGGAGGGGUUAAAGGGAUUCUCCUUAAGAAGGGGGCUGGGGGAAUCUGAGUAAGAGGUGGGGGAAAGCAGCCAAAGCAUGAUACUUAGUCAUAGCAUCACAAGAAUUUGACUCAGAGUUCCUACAAGGUUGUCCUAAAAUGCCCUGGUUCAGGUGGGUCAGCUUUGAAAGCACCCAAAUUACCCCGUUUUCUGUACUAUGUUUAAAGGCAAUUUGAAAGAAAGACCCCUAAUUUGGAAACAUGUGCUAAGGCUAAAUCACUUUUUCAACUGAAAAUUCUUUUUUAUGUAUUGUUACACUCCAUUUUCUGUCUUGUGUUUUUUGUUGUUG
rnacentral:lncRNA from 1 species